AUUGAACGCUGGCGGCAGGCCUAACACAUGCAAGUCGAGCGGAUGAAGGGAGCUUGCUCCUGGAUUCAGCGGCGGACGGGUGAGUAAUGCCUAUGAAUCUGCCUGGUAGUGGGGGAUAACGUCCUGAAACGGGCGCUAAUACCGCAUACGUCCUGAGGGAGAAAGUGGGGGAUCUUCGGACCUCACGCUAUCAGAUGAGCCUAGGUCGGAUUAGCUAGUUGGUGGGGUAAAGGCCCACCAAGCCGAGGAUCCGUAACUGGUCGGAGAGGAUGAUCAGUCACACUGGAACUGAGACACGGUCCAGACUCCUACGGGAGGGAGCAGGGGGGAAUAUUGGACAAUGGGCGAAAGCCUGAUCCAGCCAUGCCGCGUGUGUGAAGAAGGUCUUCGGAUUGUAAAGCACUUUAAGUUGGGAGGAAGGGCAGUAAGUUAAUACCUUGCUGUUUUGACGUUACCAACAGAAUAAGCACCGGCUAACUUCGUG
rnacentral:rRNA from 1 species